AUCCAGACUCCUACGGGAGGCAGCAGUGGGGAGUAUUGCACAAUGGGGGAAACCCUGAUGCAGCGACGCCGCGUGAGCGAUGAAGUAUUUCGGUAUGUAAAGCUCUAUCAGCAGGGAAGAAAAUGACGGUACCUGACUAAGAAGCCCUGGCUAACUACGUGCCAGCAGCCGCGGUAAUACGUAGGGGGCAAGCGUUAUCCGGAUUUACUGGGUGUAAAGGGAGCGUAGACGGUCCUGCAAGCCAGAUGUGAAAGCCCGGGGCUCAACCCCGGGACUGCAUUUGGAACUGUAAGGCUAGAGUGUCGGAGAGGCAGGCGGAAUUCCUAGUGUAGCGGUGAAAUGCGUAGAUAUUAGGAGGAACACCAGUGGCGAAGGCGUCUUACUGGAUCGAAACUGACGUUGAGGCUCGAAAGCGUGGGGAGCAAACAGGAUUAGAUACCCUAGUAA
rnacentral:rRNA from 1 species